rnacentral:rRNA from 1 species
GACAGAGGAUGCAAGCGUUAUCCGGAAUGACUGGGCGUAAAGCGUCUGUAGGUGGCUUUUAAGUCCGCCGUCAAAUCCCAGGGCUCAACCCUGGACAGGCGGUGGAAACUACCAAGCUGGAGUACGGUAGGGCAGAGGGAAUUUCCGGUGGAGCGGUGAAAUGCGUAGAGAUCGGAAGAACACCAACGGCGAAAGCACUCUGCUGGGCCGACACUGACACUGAGAGACGAAAGCUAGGGGAGCGAAUGGG